AGAAAGAGUACAACUGCUUGCAUCCAGUAUAGAUCGCAGGGGUGAAGGUCUGGGAAGGGGAAGCCCAAUCCCUAUGAAGGGUUCUGCCCAUACUCUGGAGACUGAAGCUACAAUCACACUGGACGGAGUCUGAUCCUGAAGAAACAGCUUUCCAUUAUACAGGAUGAUCUACUGGACUUUCAUCUUCUGAUGGACCACACAUUAAUCACAUUACACUCCAUCCUGAAAGUCAUACAUACAGAUAAGUCUCUUACGAUUACACUGACAUCUGUCUGCCUCUUCCCA